GGGGUCGACCGGAAUUGACAGGAUGGAGAUAAAUAAGUAAGCAUGCAGCGCGUUGGGUGAAUUAGCGCUUUAAUCUGAACACUCAAACCUAUAAAUGGCGAAAAUAACUACGCCUUAGCUGCCUAAUUUAGAAUUAGCAUAGCUUUUGUCCUGCCGGUUUUCUGUUCUGUUGGAUCGGCAAACGGGGCAUCGAAAAACGGAAAUAGCCUGCUUUAAGGUGUGGAAAGCAAGCGAAACAAAGCACCUAAGGUUUAAGGUACAGGCAAGCGGUUGGCCUUCCUCAUCCCCUACAAUUAAAUAACAGCUAAGCAUGUAGAAAGCUUACUUUAUACCAUGUUUGGACGAGGGUUCGAAUCCCUCCGGCUCCACUG
rfam:Mucilaginibacter pedocola strain TBZ30 scaffold2, whole genome shotgun sequence.